CCUACGGGGCGCUGCAGUGGGGAAUAUUGGACAAUGGGCGAAAGCCUGAUCCAGCCAUGCCGCGUGUGUGAAGAAGGCCUUCGGGUUGUAAAGCACUUUCAGUGGGGAAGAAAGCCUUGGGGCUAAUACCCUCGAGGAAGGACAUCACCCACAGAAGAAGCACCGGCUAACUCCGUGCCAGCAGCCGCGGUAAUACGGAGGGUGCGAGCGUUAAUCGGAAUUACUGGGCGUAAAGCGCGCGUAGGCGGUCUGAUAAGCCGGUUGUGAAAGCCCCGGGCUCAACCUGGGAACGGCAUCCGGAACUGUCAGGCUAGAGUGCAGGAGAGGAAGGUAGAAUUCCCGGUGUAGCGGUGAAAUGCGUAGAGAUCGGGAGGAAUACCAGUGGCGAAGGCGGCCUUCUGGACUGACACUGACGCUGAGGUGCGAAAGCGUGGGUAGCAAACAGGAUUAGCUACCCCAGUAGUC
rnacentral:rRNA from 1 species